UAGGACUACUGGGGUUUCUAAUCCUGUUCGCUCCCCACGCUUUCGCUCCUCAGCGUCAGUAUCGGCCCAGACCACUGCCUUCGCCAUCGGUGUUCCUCCUGAUAUCUGCGCAUUCCACCGCUACACCAGGAAUUCCGUGGUCCCCUACCGAACUCAAGUCAAAGAAGUAUCAAAUGGCGGCUCCAGGUUGAGCCUGGAGGUUUCACAUCUGACUUUCUUAACCGCCUACGAGCUCUUUACGCCCAAUAAAUCCGGACAACGCUUGCUCCCUACGUAUUACCGCGGCGGCUGGCAC
rnacentral:misc_RNA from 1 species